CAAGAAAACGAGGCCGCGUGCGCUCGCCCGCCCCGGCCCCGCUCCUUUACCUUGCCUACUGCACCGUUUGUUGCUUUCCUGGCGGCGGACUGCCCGCCGCCCAGGGGACGUUGAUUCAACCCUGUAUAGAAGCAUUGAAGCUCUGAGAAAACGCGAAAAUCGUAC
rnacentral:misc_RNA from 1 species